rnacentral:rRNA from 1 species
GGAUGAACGCUGGCGGCGUGCCUAAUACAUGCAAGUCGGACGGAUGUAGCAAUACAUUAGUGGCGAACGGGUGAGUAACACGUAGGUGACCUGCCCUAAGGAGGGGAAUACCACUUCGAAAGGGGUGACAAAACCGCAUAAACUUAUAGAGAUCAGAAGGCUAUAAGGAAAAGAGCGAUCUACUUUAGGAGGGGCCUGCGGCCCAUCAGCUAGUUGGUAGAGGUAACGGCCUACCAAGGCGAAGACGGGUAGGGGACCUGAGAGGGUGAUCCCCCACAAUGGAACUGAAACACGGUCCAUACACCUGCGGGUGGCAGCAGUAGGGAAUAUUGGGCAAUGGGCGAAAGCCUGACCCAGCGACGCCGCGUGGGCGAUGAAGGCCUUCGGGUUGUAAAGCCCUGUCAUGCGGAAAGAACGACCCUGCGACGCAUAAUCGCAGGGAGUGACGGUACCGCAGGAGGAAGCACCGGCUAACUCCGUGCCAGCAGCCGCGGUAAUACGGAGGGUGCAAGCGUUGUUCGGAAUUAUUGGGCGUAAAGGGCGCGUAGGCGGUAAUGCUAGUCAGAUGUGAAAUACUCCGGCUCAACCGGGGAACUGCAUCUGAAACUGCAUAACUAGAGUACAGAAGAGGGAAACGGAAUUCCCGGUGUAGAGGUGAAAUUCGUAGAUAUCGGGAGGAACACCAGUGGCGAAGGCGGUUUCCUGGUCUGAUACUGACGCUGAGGCGCGAAAGUGUGGGGAGCAAACAGGAUUAGAUACCCUGGUAGUCCACACUGUAAACGGUGAACACUAGGUGUGGGAGGUGUAAUACCUUCCGUGCCGUAGCUAACGCGUUAAGUGUUCCGCCUGGGAAGUACGGCCGCAAGGUUGAAACUCAAAGGAAUUGACGGGGGCCCGCACAAGCGGUGGAGCAUGUGGUUUAAUUCGACGCAACGCGAAAAACCUUACCUGGGUUUGACAUGCCGAGAACCCUGAUGAAAAUCGGGGGUGCCCCGUAAGGGGAACUUGGACACAGGUGCUGCAUGGCUGUCGUCAGCUCGUGCCGUGAGGUGUUGGGUUAAGUCCCGCAACGAGCGCAACCCUCAUCCUUAGUUGCCAUCAUUAAGUUGGGCACCCUAAGGAAACUGCCGCAGUUAAUGCGGAGGAAGGUGGGGAUGACGUCAAGUCCUCAUGGCCCUUAUAUCCAGGGCUACACACGUGCUACAAUGGGCGGCACAAAGGGUUGCAAACCCGCGAGGGGGAGCUAAUCCCACAAAUCCGCUCCUAGUUCGGAUUGGACUCUGCAACUCGAGUCCAUGAAGCUGGAAUCGCUAGUAAUCGCGGAUCAGCAUGCCGCGGUGAAUACGUUCCCGGGCCU